rnacentral:rRNA from 1 species
UGGGGAAUUUUGGACAAUGGGCGAAAGCCUGAUCCAGCAAUGCCGCGUGUGUGAAGAAGGCCUUCGGGUUGUAAAGCACUUUUGUCCGGAAAGAAAUCCUUGGCUCUAAUACAGUCGGGGGAUGACGGUACCGGAAGAAUAAGCACCGGCUAACUACGUGCCAGCAGCCGCGGUAAUACGUAGGGUGCAAGCGUUAAUCGGAAUUACUGGGCGUAAAGCGUGCGCAGGCGGUUUGCUAAGACCGAUGUGAAAUCCCCGGGACAUCCAGGCAUGGAAUGCUGAUGCUGGCAGGCUAGAGUAUGGCAGAGGGGGUAGAAUUCCACGUGUAGCAGUGAAAUGCGUAGAGAUGUGGAGGAAUACCGAUGGCGAAGGCAGCCCCCUGGGCCAAUACUGACGCUCAUGCACGAAAGCGUGGGGAGCAAACAGGAUUAGAUACCCUGGUAGUCCACGCCCUAAACGAUGUCAACUAGUUGUUGGGGAUUCAUUUCCUUAGUAACGUAGCUAACGCGUGAAGUUGACCGCCUGGGGAGUACGGUCGCAAGAUUAAAACUUAAUGAAUUGACGGGGUCAUAGCUGUUUCCU